GAUGAACGCUAGCUACAGGCCUAACACAUGCAAGUCGAGGGACCGGCGCACGGGUGAGUAACACGUAUCCAACCUGUCCUUUACUCGGGGUUAGCCCUUCGAAAGCAAGAUCAAUACCCGAUACAAAGGAUGGGGAUGCGUUCCAUUUGGUUGUUGGUGAGGUCACGGCUCACCAAGCCUUCGAUGGAUAGGGGUUCUGAGAGGAAGGUCCCCCACAUUGGAACUGAGACACGGUCCAAACUCGGACGCGAGGCAGCAGUGAGGAAUAUUGGUCGAUGGGCGCUAGCCUGAACCAGCCAAGUAGCGUGAAGGAUGAAGGGUUAUGGGUCGUAAACUUCUUUUAUAUAAGAAUAUGUAUUAUAUGAAUAAGGAUCGGCUAACUCCGUGCCAGCAGCCGCGGUAAUAC
rnacentral:rRNA from 1 species